AUAUAGUUAAUUCAAAUAUCUAUUUGUUAUAUCGUUAACGCGCAAGGUAAAUUAAAGUAGACUAGACAUUGAAAAACAUUAUAUGUCAUUUCCAAUUAAUUAUGAACUAUAUCAAUAAAAUCUAAAAUAUUUAUAACUUGAAAUUAUUUUAAAAAACUAAAAUUGUCCCAUUAGCUGUAGAUAUAAGAUUUUGCGACCACAAAAAGUUACAAACCUAUAAAAAAGGUAUAAUACAUCCAAACUCAACAAUUUAUUAUCCUCAAAUUCAUAAAAUCAAAAAUACCCAAAUUGAAAUAGAACAUAGAAGAACCAAAACUUAUAAAAAUAGCGGAAUGAGACUCCAAACUCUAGAAUAGAACCGAAUAAAACUGAACUGAACUUAUCCAAAUACCCAAAUACCCAAAUACCCAAGUACCCAAACACAAAGACCUAAUACUAGCUAGCUCAUUAAAAGAGGUACAAGCUCGAUCCUCCAAUACAAAAUCGAAACAAAAGUCGAAACUAGUCCCAAACUCACCAAAACGGCAAAACUUAAUACUUAAACUUAUCAAAGAAAUGAAAAAGACACUUAAGAUUACUUCACCACUUUCAGCAAACAUUAUUCGGGAGAAAAUAUCAACAAUCUUCAAGCUUUAACCCAUUUUUCCACUAAACAUUAUGAUGACUACUUCAUCACUUUCAGCAAACAUUAUUCGGGAGAAACCAUCUCAAAAUCUAAAUUUACAAAAUUUAAACCUACAAGGGGAAAUAUGGGUUAAAGCUUGAAGAUUGUGAAAUAUGAAUUUGUGUGUUUUUCCUAGCCAGAAUUGAAUCCUUGAUUGCCUGUUCUUAACUCACUUUUUUUUUUUUUUUACAUUUUCCCCGGAAAAUAGUUUAUCUUCUUCCUUGAGUCCAAUUACUUUGCUAACUUCCAGAGUAAUUUUUUUGAUGAAAUCAGAUUCAGAGCUGUCAAAAUAUAGUAUACUUUAAUCCAUCAAACCCAUCUUAUCGCUUAUUGCUUAUAGCAUAAAGAAAAACUCAUCUUACCACGCGCAUAUGCAUAUAUAUUUUACUAUAGAGAGCAUAAAAAGCAAGGGGAAGUACCUUUCAUGGCUUGAACGCAAACCCAUCUUACUGC
rnacentral:lncRNA from 1 species